rnacentral:rRNA from 1 species
AUCCAGAGUACCGCGGGACACGAGGAACCCCGUGGGAAAACGGGUGGACCACCAUCCAAGCCUAAAUACUACCUGAUGACCGAUAGAGGAGCAGUACCGUGAGGGAAAGGUGAAAAGGACCCCGGGAGGGGAGUGAAAGAGAACCUGAAACCUUGUGCUUACAAGCACUCAAAGCACGUUAAAGUGUGAUGAGGUACUUUUUGUAGAACGGUCCGGCGAGUUAUAGUAACGAGCAAGCUUAAGGUAUUCAGUACCGGAGGCGAAGCGAGAGCGAGUCUGAAUAGGGCGCAUAAAGUUCGUUGCCAUAGACCCGAAACCGGGUGACCUAACCAUGAGCAGGCUGAAGUGAGAGUAAAAUCUCAUGGAGGGCCGAACGCACGUUCGUUGCAAUGACCGGCGAUGACUUGUGGUUAGCGGAGAAAUUCCAAUCGAACUCGGAGAUAGCUGGUUCUCCCCGAAAUAGCUUUAGGGCUAGCGUUGAUUUAGAUUACCGGAGGUAAAGCACUGAAUGAGCUAGGGGGCGAUAAGCUUACUGAACUCUAUCAAACUCAGAAUGCCGGCUAAUUGAUGAUCAGCAGUCAGACAGUGUGAGAUAAGUUUCAUUGUCAAAAGGGAAACAGCCCAGACCUACAGCUAAGGUCCCUAAUAUACGCUAAGUGGAAAACGAUGUGGAGUUGCGAAAACAACCAGGAUGUUGGCUUAGAAGCAGCCAUUCAUUAAAAGAGUUCGUAAUAGAUCACUGGUCGAGUGACUCUGCGCGGAAAAUAUAACGGGGCUAAGCGUAUAACCGAAGCUUAGGAUUGUUCCUAGAACAGUGGUAGGGGAGCGUCGUGUACGGGGUGAAGUCGCAUCGUAAGGAGCGGUGGACUGUACACGAGUGAGAAUGCCGGAAUGAGUAGCGAGAAUUAUGUGGGAAUCAUAAUGGCCGAAAAUCUAAGGUUUCUUGGGGAAGGUUCGUCCGCCCAAGGUAAGCCGGGAGCUAAGGCGAGGCCGCAAGGCGUAGUCGAUGCACAUACGGUAGAAAUUCCGUAGCCACCGAACCUUAAACCGGAAGGACACUUUGAGAUAGCAGAACCCAGCCGUUGGUUGAGCUGGGCGUAAGGGACUGAAAUAUAGUAGGGAAGUCUGCGAUGCUCAGAGGCGAGAAAAGCUCCGGUGUAUGCUAAGGUGCCCGUACCGCAAACCGACACAGGUAGAUGAGGAGAGAAUCCUAAGGCCAACGGGAGAAGGGUUGUUAAGGAACUCGGCAAAUUGACCCCGUAACUUCGGAAGAAGGGGAGCCUCGAAAGAGGCCGCAGUGAAUAGGCCCAAGCAACUGUUUACCAAAAACACAGGUCUAUGCUAAAUCGAAAGAUGACGUAUAUGGCUGACGCCUGCCCGGUGCCGGAAGGUUAAGAGGAGAGCUUAGCGCAAGCGAAGGUUGAAUUGAAGCCCCGGUAAACGGCGGCCGUAACUAUAACGGUCCUAAGGUAGCGAAAUUCCUUGUCAGGUAAGUUCUGACCCGCACGAAUGGCGUAAUGAUUUGGGCACUGUCUCAACAGCCCGCCCGGCGAAAUUGUAGUACCGGUGAAGAUGCCGGUUACCCGCGACUAGACGGAAAGACCCCAUGGAGCUUUACUGUAGUUUGAUACUGAAAUUUGAUUCAUUAUGUACAGGAUAGGUGGGAGACAGGGAAGCAAUCUCGUCAGGGGUUGUGGAGUCGACCUUGGGAUACCACUCUUGAUGAAUCAGAUUUCUAACCUGCUCCCGUGAAUCCGGGAGGGGGACAAUGUCAGAUGGGCAGUUUGACUGGGGCGGUCGCCUCCAAAAGAGUAACGGAGGCGUACAAAGGUCGGCUCAGUGCGGACGGAAAUCGCACAAUGAGUAUAAACGUAGAAGCCGGCCUAACUGCGAGACCUACAAGUCGAGCAGUAACGAAAG